rnacentral:lncRNA from 1 species
CUGACAUGCUCAGGGUGUGACGGUGUCUGGAGGGACGCAGGUAGAGCUGCUCUGCAUGAAACGAGACCAACUUCCUCCUGAGAAAUGGGGGACAAAGGCGAGAGCAGAGCUGGCGAGGUGAGACGACAUUUCCUGAGUGUGAAGGAUGCUGUCGAGUUCCUGGUGUCGAGGCUGAGCUGAUGGGGAUGGAAGGGAUGGCCGCUCCUCAUCCCACAGGAUGUGACAUCUGACCCCUCAAAUAUUCUGCUCAUUCUACAAAGUGUAAUGGACAUGGGGUGCCUUGUGCUGGGCUAAGCGCCUUGAAGGGGGAGCAAGGAGGGGCCAGACUUUCCCAAGGACUUCACUUUCCAGAGGUGACCACUCACAGGUUCCCUGUUUGCCAAAUCGGAGUUCAGGACACCUGUGCUGAGGACAAAACAAGAAGACACCAAUGUCUCCAUCCAGAACCAUCAUUUCUGAGCACGGCGCUGACAACUCCACACCUGC